rnacentral:miRNA from 1 species
GAUGAAUGAAUGUGUUAGGUGGGCACAAAAGUAAUUGCGGUUUUUGCCAUUGAAAGUAAUGGCAAAAACGGCAAUUUUUUAAAAUUAUUAUUAUACUUUUUAAGUUCUA